AUUAGUGGCGAACGGGUGAGUAACACGUGAGUAACCUGCCCUUGACUCUGGGAUAAGCGUUGGAAACGACGUCUAAUACCGGAUACGACCAGCCCCGGCAUCGGGUGUUGGUGGAAAGAAUUUUGGUCAAGGAUGGACUCGCGGCCUAUCAGGUAGUUGGUGAGGUAAUGGCUCACCAAGCCUACGACGGGUAGCCGGCCUGAGAGGGUGACCGGCCACACUGGGACUGAGACACGGCCCAGACUCCUACGGGAGGCAGCAGUGGGGAAUAUUGCACAAUGGGCGAAAGCCUGAUGCAGCAACGCCGCGUGAGGGACGACGGCCUUCGGGUUGUAAACCUCUUUUAGCAGGGAAGAAGCGAAAGUGACGGUACCUGCAGAAAAAGCACCGGCUAACUACGUGCCAGCAGCCGCGGUAAUACGUAGGGUGCAAGCGUUGUCCGGAAUUAUUGGGCGUAAAGAGCUCGUAGGCGGUUUGUCGCGUCUGCUGUGAAAACCCGAGGCUCAACCUCGGGCCUGCAGUGGGUACGGGCAGACUAGAGUGCGGUAG
rnacentral:rRNA from 1 species